GGUAAUUUAUUGGCGCGCUCGUGCAUGCGGCAUGCAUUUUACAGGACAAGCAAGACAAACGUUGGAACGUGAGGCACAAGUAUUGACCAGGAAACAGUGGUUGGUAGCACUCCCGAACGUCAUGAUCAACAAGUCUUGUGCCCUGACUACCUAUGGGCCUCUCCUGCAGUUUUCUUGGAGGACCAUGUUCGGGGCCCAUAGAGUUAUUGGCCAGAAACUCUACACACCCGUAUUUGAAUGCGAGGAGGCAGCGAAAAGUUUAAGUGCUGUGCGUGUGUCAAGCAAAACGGUUGAAUUUUGACAGAUUUUGAAGUCAGAAAUAUCAUUAAGCCCCAACUGUUUGACGUUGGCAUUUACGCAAGCCAGUAGGUGGUGAUAGAUGUAUGUUGGUGAGUCUUUGGAAUUUUUUAGGGUUGUAGGUCAACUCGACCGUCGACCAACUCGACCAUUGAACCAACUCGUCCGUUGACCAACUCGACUUCAAAGUCGAGUCAACUCGACCAUUAACCAAAUUUUCAGACAAACUCUUUCCUUGCAAAAUACAUAUUAAAAGGGGAAAAAUAAAGAUCGGAUCCAGAUCGCGAAAAUUAUGGAUGCUAAGUUCGGCUCAAUGAACCCACAAAAUCAACUGAAAUGCAAUCAAUAAUUGAACUUGUGCUAAUGAGAUACUCCAAAAUAUUGUUCCCAAUUUGAGAAGAAGCACACACGCAUGAACCCCUUGAAAUCUGUCACCACACUGUGCGCAUGCACAGAUCACAUCAAGCACAGUAAAACAAAUUGAACGCGCUAUCCAGAACUAGGAAAAAUGCAUUCCUUCUAUGCCCUGUCCCUAUUGCACUGUUUGCACGGUCGAGUUGGUUGAGAGUCGAGUUGGUCGACUGCUAUGUGCAUUUAUUUCAGCUAGAGCACAAGCUGCUGAUAAGUCGUUGCUUACAGGACGACCAGCUUCUUGGCAUUUCUUGAUGAUGAUGGCCACUGUUGUUAAGACUGUGAUCUCCUGUAUUAGCCUUUAGUUGGACCGAGAGAGAACACUUUUUCCUUGGCAUCAGAGGCUCCUUUGUUACUAACUGUGCAUCACUGGUUCAUGAACGACGAGGACAUGGUAGUAUAGCCCAAUCGCUAACAACAAAAUGAUUACUCCCAACCAACACGGCUCUUUUCAACCAAUUUAGUUGUGCUUCUACUCAAGGCAGAUUGAAGAGAUUGCUUGGCUGAAAAAACAGUUUCCCUAGUUUCAGUAGUUUGACAGAGAGACAAGAGCAAGCUAGUCCCUGGAGGCCGUUCUCUGGAGUGUAACAAAUCAGAGAUAUCUUAUCUUUGGUGACACUACUCAACAGUCAGAGCACAAGCCACUCAUGGUACAUCCAGUUUCUUGAUGAUGGAGUUCCUGCGCUCAUUGUUGAGGUGAUUGGUACUUUGAUCUCUUGCUGUUGCCUUCUAGGUAAAAGCUGUAGCAUUGAUGCAGAGACAAGACC
rnacentral:lncRNA from 1 species